rnacentral:sRNA from 1 species
GUGCGUGCCUGCCCAACUCCCAUGCCUUCUCCCAGGGGUGCCGCUUACUAGUCCCAGCUUAAGAACAAGGAUCGGAGUGGCCAGAUAACGCAGAGCAUCUCCUCAUUCUAGAAGGGCCACAGACCAGCCCUGGCUUUGAGGGGAGGAAGAAGCCCUUUAGUACGGCAGAUGGAAACGCAUUUAUCGGAGACAUAAAGGACAAGGUGACUGCAUGGAAGCAGUACCGGAAAGCAGCUAUCUCAGGAGAGAAUGCCGGCCUUGUCAGGGCCUCGGGGAGAACUAUGGAGCAAUUCACCAUCCACCUCACCGUCAAUCCCAAGAGCAAGGUCACGUUUCAGCUGACUUAUGAGGAAGUGCUGAAGAGAAACCAUAUGCAGUAUGAAAUUGUCAUCAAAGUCAAGCCCAAGCAGCUGGUGCAUCAUUUUGAGAUCGAUGUGGACAUCUUCGAGCCCCAGGGGAUCAGCAAGCUGGAUGCCCAGGCCUCUUUCCUGCCGAAGGAACUGGCAGCCCAAACUAUCAAGAAGUCCUUCUCAGGAAAAAAGGGUCACGUGCUGUUCCGUCCCACUGUGAGCCAGCAGCAGUCCUGCCCCACAUGCUCUACAUCCUUACUGAACGGGCACUUCAAGGUGACCUACGAUGUCAGUCGAGACAAGAUCUGCGACCUCCUGGUGGCCAAUAACCACUUUGCCCACUUCUUCGCCCCCCAAAACCUGACAAACAUGAACAAGAAUGUGGUUUUUGUGAUUGACAUCAGUGGCUCCAUGAGAGGCCAGAAAGUGAAGCAGACCAAGGAGGCACUCCUUAAAAUUCUGGGGGACAUGCAGCCAGGGGACUACUUUGACCUGGUUCUUUUUGGGACUCGAGUACAAUCGUGGAAGGGCUCGCUGGUGCAAGCAUCUGAGGCCAACCUACAAGCAGCUCAAGACUUUGUGCGGGGCUUUUCCCUGGAUGAGGCCACAAACCUGAAUGGAGGUUUGCUCCGGGGAAUUGAGAUCUUGAACCAAGUUCAGGAAAGCCUCCCAGAACUCAGCAACCAUGCCUCAAUUCUCAUCAUGUUGACAGAUGGCGAUCCCACAGAGGGGGUGACGGACCGUUCCCAAAUCCUCAAGAACGUCCGCAACGCCAUCCGGGGCAGGUUCCCGCUCUACAACCUGGGUUUCGGCCACAAUGUGGACUUUAACUUUCUGGAGGUCAUGUCCAUGGAGAACAAUGGACGGGCCCAGAGAAUCUACGAGGACCGUGAUGCCACCCAGCAGCUGCAGGGUUUCUACAGCCAGGUAGCCAAACCCCUGCUGGUGGAUGUGGAUUUGCAGUACCCCCAGGAUGCUGUCUUGGCCCUGACCCAGAACCACCAUAAACAGUACUACGAAGGCUCAGAGAUUGUGGUGGCCGGGCGCAUUGCUGACAACAAACAGAGCAGCUUCAAGGCUGAUGUGCAGGCCCAUGGGGAGGGACAAGAAUUCAGUAUAACCUGCCUAGUGGAUGAGGAGGAGAUGAAGAAACUGCUCCGAGAGCGUGGCCACAUGCUGGAGAACCACGUCGAGCGCCUCUGGGCCUACCUCACCAUCCAGGAGCUGCUGGCCAAGCGGAUGAAGGUGGACAGGGAGGAGAGGGCCAACCUGUCAUCCCAGGCCCUGCGGAUGUCGCUGGACUAUGGAUUUGUGACCCCACUGACCUCCAUGAGCAUCAGGGGCAUGGCGGACCAGGACGGCCUGAAGCCCACCAUCGACAAGCCCUCAGAGGAUUCUCCGCCUUUGGAGAUGCUGGGACCCAGAAGGACGUUCGUGCUGUCAGCCUUGCAGCCUUCUCCUACUCAUUCCAGCUCCAAUACCCAGCGGCUGCCAGACCGAGUGACCGGCGUGGACACAGACCCUCACUUCAUCAUCCACGUGCCCCAGAAAGAGGACACCCUGUGCUUCAACAUCAAUGAGGAGCCUGGUGUUAUCCUGAGCCUGGUACAGGACCCCAACACAGGCUUCUCAGUGAAUGGACAGCUCAUUGGCAACAAGGCCAGGAGCCCUGGGCAGCAUGACGGCACGUACUUCGGGCGGCUGGGAAUCGCAAACCCUGCCACGGACUUUCAGUUGGAAGUGACUCCUCAGAACAUUACGCUGAACCCCGGCUUUGGUGGGCCUGUGUUUUCCUGGAGGGACCAAGCUGUGCUGCGGCAGGACGGGGUGGUGGUGACCAUCAACAAGAAGAGGAACCUGGUGGUGUCUGUGGACGACGGUGGCACCUUUGAGGUUGUUUUGCACCGAGUGUGGAAGGGGAGCUCGGUCCACCAGGACUUCCUGGGCUUCUAUGUGCUGGACAGUCAUCGGAUGUCAGCCCGGACGCACGGGCUGCUGGGGCAAUUUUUCCACCCCAUCGGUUUUGAAGUGUCUGACAUCCGCCCAGGCUCCGACCCAACAAAGCCAGAUGCCACGAUGGUGGUGAGGAACCGCCGGCUCACGGUCACCAGGGGUUUGCAAAAAGACUACAGCAAGGACCCGCGGCAUGGGGCCGAGGUGUCCUGCUGGUUCAUUCACAACAAUGGGGCUGGACUCAUCGAUGGUGCCUACACUGAUUAUAUCGUCCCCGACAUCUUCUGAGCCCUCUGGCCAGCACGCCUGUCCUCCCCCGGGGCCAAGGCAGAGGAGGAGGACGACAUCCUGACCUGCUGCUGAGGCUGCACCUCCUUGACUAAGCUGG